AUUGAACGCUGGCGGCAGGCCUAACACAUGCAAGUCGAACGAGUGGCGGACGGGUGAGUAAUGUCUGGGAAACUGCCUGAUGGAGGGGGCUAACUACUGGAAACGGUAGCUAAUACCGCAUACCAUCGGAUGUGCCCAGAUGGGAUUAGCUAGUAGGUGGGGUAACGGCUCACCAAGGCGACGAUCCCUAGUUGGUCUGAGAGGAUGACCAGCCACUCGGGAACUGAGACACGGUCCAGACGCCUACGGGAGGCAGCAGUGGGGAAUAUUGCACAAUGGGCGCAAGCCUGAUGCAGCCAUGCCGCGUGUAUGAAGAAGGCCUUCGGGUGGUAAAGGACUUUCAGCGGGGAGGCGUUACCCGCAGAAGAAGCACCGGCUAACUCCGUGCCAGCAGCCGCGGUAAUUC
rnacentral:rRNA from 1 species